CUCUUAUCCGGAGUGGUGGAGGGACUGGCCCUAUGAAACCCGGCAACCAGCUUUAUUGAAACAUAAAGCAUGGUGCUAAUUCCUGCAGGAGUGAAGACUUCUGACAGAUAAGAG
rnacentral:ncRNA from 2 species